CCUACGGGAGGCAGCAGUAGGGAAUAUUGCUCAAUGGGGGAAACCCUGAAGCAGCAACGCCGCGUGGAGGAUGAAGGUUUUCGGAUUGUAAACUCCUUUUGUUAGAGAAGAUAAUGACGGUAUCUAACGAAUACUCACCGGCUAACUCCGUGCCAGCAGCCGCGGUAAUACGGAGGGUGCAAGCGUUACUCGGAAUCACUGGGCGUAAAGAGCGCGUAGGCGGGACAGCAAGUCAGAUGUGAAAUCCUAGGGCUUAACCAUAGAACUGCAUUUGAAACUGUUAUUCUAGAGUAUGGGAGAGGUAGGUGGAAUGCUUGGUGUAGGGGUAAAAUCCGUAGAGAUCAAGAGGAAUACUCAUUGCGAAGGCGACCUGCUAGAACAUAACUGACGCUGAUGCGCGAAAGCGUGGGGAGCAAACAGGAUUAGAUACCCCAGUAGUC
rnacentral:rRNA from 1 species